CGCGUAUCUGAUUUGCAGGUGAGUCGAGCAGCCAAACGUCUCUGCUUUUAGGCAUAGACUUCUUCUGAACGAUGUGUCCCCGGUCUGUCUUUACCACACUGCCGUUGUAGACUUUGAGGAAAGCAACAGAAGCCUGGUGGCUAGCGGGGGCAGGGCGAGUUCUUUGGUCUUGGGUGUAUCGAAAGGAUGGUGUGAGGGCUGAACCCAGAACAAGCUCUUGAGAGCGCCCCCAACAUACCAUCAGGGACUGGAGCCCCAGAGAGAAAUAAUAAAGUGCCCUGGCUGUGAUGCCAGGGGAGGUGAGCCCGGGUUGAGCCAUUGUGAGGGUUAACCAGAGACAGGUGAGAUCCCAGGUCAGUUCAAAGCAAAGCACCGGGCAGAAGAUGAGCAGGAGACAGGAUCAGUAAAAACGCUGCAUUAGGACAAGUAUCCAGUGUUCGACCUGCUGGCAUGUGAAUCCAGCUCCACCCCACCGGACUGACAACAGGUCGUUAACCUCUCUAGGUCAACUCACUGGGGUGACAGCCACACCUGAGCUCACGGAGGUGUCAGAGGUAAGCUGGUGGAUAUGUACUAAGCUCUAGAAAGGGCCUGGUGCGCAGUCCUAGUUGACUGGGAGAUGCUGUUUCCUCUUUUGAAACCUCACUUUUGUUUACCCAAGUUCCACAUCUUCCUUCCAGAGCUGCUCACAGGCCUCCUGAAUAAACAAACAAGAGGUGCUUCCUGAAGGAGCCCGGAAGCCACACUCAGCCACCAUCGGUGGGACUUCAGUAAAUAGCAAGAGUGUGAUGAAGCAGUUCGGAAUACAUGCAGGCCGCUUUAAGAAAGAGACCACCGUGAGAAGUUAACAACCCUUGGCGCUGGUUGCUCAGAAUAAAUCAUAGUAUCUUCAACUUCAGGGUUUUGAAGUGGACAUGGAGCCAGCAGGGAUGGAAUCCGUGCCAGAAGAGAGAGAGCUGGGAGAACUAAGGACCACCAGCCUGUGUAAUGACGAAGGGAGGGCUCAAUGGCUUGUCUGAAAGACAUGGAGGAGCAUGCCACGAAAGAAUCUGGAGCAGAAAAUUCCAGGAGACCGAUGCUGAAGCAGGAAGGCCCGUCAGCCGCUGUCAACAAAGUUUCCUCAUUAACUCAUGAGAGAUGUUCUGUACCGGACUCACGGGUCCACGAGGCUACUAAUGGGGCCUGGAACCAUCCGUGCCCACUCAGCUCUGAUCCCAGGGGGCAGAUGUAGAAGUCCUCAGAUGUGGCUGAGCAAGCACUGUCCUGAUUCUUCUCCUGUGGGACUGUGGUGGCUGCAAAGAGAAUGCCCCCGUAGGCUCAUCUGUUUGAGUAUACGGUCUCCAGUUGGUGGAAUUAUUUGGGAAAGAUUAAGAAGUGUGGCCUUGUUGGAUGUGUAUCACUGGGCUUUAAGGUUUCAAAAGCCAGAGCUAUUCCCAGUAAGCUCCUUCUAUCUGCUUUGUGCUGGUGGAUCAGAUGUAAGGUCUUACUUAGUUAAUUCUCCCGCACCAUGCCUGCCUGCCUGCCUGCCUGCCA